GCAUGUUUCUCUUUUCUCUUUUCCUGCUUCAUUCAGCCAGAGUUUCAAUUGCUGAAUGUUGAAGGCAGGGUUCAAUGGCCAACCAAUCAAAUGUAAAGGUGUGUUGAGCAUUAGCCAAUAAGAAGGGAAAGGACGCGUGAUCACCGGGUGAUGUGCAGCGUGCAAUCAAUAUGAAAACAGCGUGGUACACAACUGCCUUGGCAUGUAAAACCGAUGAGGAUUCUGGGAUGGGUGAGUGACGGCGAUUUUGGAAUGGUGCCCCGAUGGGCCACUGGAUGAGAGACAGGAAGGCCAGACACAUUCCCCUCUGGAAGGUCCACUGAGGACGCUGCCCUGUUAUAUUGAUCCGAUAAACUGCAGUUGUCUCGCCAUUCUUCUAUGCUUGGUAUAUUGGAACAGCUCCAUAAUAAACAGACAGCGCCCCUAUGCCUUAA